GUGGAUUAGAUACCCUGGUAGUCCACGCCGUAAACGGUGGGAACUAGGUGUUGGCGACAUUCCACGUCGUCGGUGCCGCAGCUAACGCAUUAAGUUCCCCGCCUGGGGAGUACGGCCGCAAGGCUAAAACUCAAAGGAAUUGACGGGGGCCCGCACAAGCGGCGGAGCAUGUGGCUUAAUUCGACGCAACGCGAAGAACCUUACCAAGGCUUGACAUACACCGGAAAGCAUUAGAGAUAGUGCCCCCCUUGUGGUCGGUGUACAGGUGGUGCAUGGUUGUCGUCAGCU
rnacentral:rRNA from 1 species